rnacentral:lncRNA from 1 species
UUAGAGUAUCUACUUCUGAAUUAUUGAAGUAAUGGUGACCUUGAUACAAAAGGAAAGUCAGAAGAAGGACCAUAUUGGGAUGAAUUUGCAGAUGGGUUAAACCUCUAGGCAACAGAUACCUGCAUAGUUCAUUUGGACCAAGAGGGCAUUCCUGAUAUCACUUCUUUUCAUUUCAUUGUGACAACUGCGGACUCUAAGAUCCAAGUGUAUCAGUAACACGUAUUCAUUUAUUGUUUCUAUGUGGUAUGAGAAGAAACAGAAGUCUCAUCUUCUUAGCUUGCUCCAUGAUACGAAAUCUUCACACCAGCAACUCCUCACCCAUGAACACAGACCAUGUUGAAAAUCUGUCUGGCCAGGGGUGUUAAGUGAGCUUUCCUGUGCACUCGACCAGAUAAUGCUGCCAGGGUUUCUGUACGUGACAUCAAGAUUGGAAGCCCUGAAGCUGGAGUCUUGGACAUGUCAGUGUCCCAUCUGGGAGAGGGUGAUCUCUUACAGCACACUUCCUCUUCCAACCUCCUUACCAAGACAUUCAUCACCACAUGCAUUCUUGACAUCCCACCCCCUCCAAGAAGCUGCAUGGUUUGGGGACAGUGAUGUUCUCUGCUGAAAUAAUGAUUUCCUGUCUCCUUUUCUGCUGGUGGUGGACUUGGGGAAUAUCUCAUCAAUAGGGCUCUUGGAUUCAGGUAUGGAGACCUCUGCCCUGAGCUCCACACCUCAGAAGACC